rnacentral:rRNA from 1 species
GACAGAGGGGGCAAGCGUUGCUCGGAAUUACUGGGCGUAAAGGGCGCGUAGGCGGCCAUCUAAGUCAGACGUGAAAUCCCUCGGCUCAACCGAGGAACUGCAUCCGAUACUGGCGGGCUUGAAUCCGGGAGAGGGAUGUGGAAUUCCAGGUGUAGCGGUGAAAUGCGUAGAUAUCUGGAGGAACACCGGUGGCGAAGGCGGCAUCCUGGACCGGUAUUGACGCUGAGGCGCGAAAGCUAGGGGAGCAAACGGG